GACGAACGCUGGCGGCGCGCCUAACGCAUGCAAGUCGAACGAGCGAGAGAGAGCUUGCUUUCUCAAGCGAGUGGCGAACGGGUGAGUAACGCGUGAGGAACCUGCCUCAAAGAGGGGGACAACAGUUGGAAACGACUGCUAAUACCGCAUAAGCCCACGACCCGGCAUCGGGUAGAGGGAAAAGGAGCAAUCCGCUUUGAGAUGGCCUCGCGUCCGAUUAGCUAGUUGGUGAGGUAACGGCCCACCAAGGCGACGAUCGGUAGCCGGACUGAGAGGUUGAACGGCCACAUUGGGACUGAGACACGGCCCAGACUCCUACGGGAGGCAGCAGUGGGGAAUAUUGCACAAUGGGGGAAACCCUGAUGCAGCGACGCCGCGUGGAGGAAGAAGGUCUUCGGAUUGUAAACUCCUGUUGUUGAGGAAGAUAAUGACGGUACUCAACAAGGAAGUGACGGCUAACUACGUG
rnacentral:rRNA from 1 species